rnacentral:rRNA from 1 species
UCCGUAGGCGGGCAAUUAAGUCAUAGGUGAAAUCCCACAGCUCAACUGUGGAACUGCCUUUGAUACUGGUUGUCUUGAGUUAUAGUGAAGUAGAUAGAAUAUGUAGUGUAGCGGUGAAAUGCAUAGAUAUUACAUAGAAUACCGAUUGCGAAGGCAGUCUACUAACUGUAUACUGACGCUAAUGGACGAAAGCGUGGGGAGCGAACAGGAUUAGAUACCCUGGUAGUCC